CUCGAUAUUGCGAAACCAAACUUGGUAUAAGAGCUCCCAACACUGCUAAACUGGUCAUCGCUAAACCUUUAAAAAAAAAAAAAAAGCAUUCGCUGGUACCCAGAUUUCCACAGGAGUUAAACAUUUCCUGCGCAGCUAAAGCAAGUCUUACCAGUAGGAAACCGGAACUUGCUAGGACUAAGAAACUUGAGGCUAGGCUGACCCCAUGGUUGUUAUGAUUAGAAAUCCGAGGCCACUGGAAACCCGGAGCUGCUGACCAACGAGUCACAGGGUAACUUCGCCUUCGCAUGGGGAAACGGGGGACUGCGUUCUGGAGGCCGAGCCGGAACCCGUGCGGCGGCGCUGGGAAGAGACUGUGCCCCUGCAGCUCCCCUGUCACCGGCUCCAAGGAGCGUCGGGCUCCCCCCGCCCAGCCCUGCAGCACCCAUCCGGCAACGCCAGACUCGGCGCAACGGGGGCAGCUGCGACUUUAAAUCUCUCAGAUCCGCGGCCUGAGGGCUGCCGCCACCGAGAAAUGGAGGCACAGAGCUGUGAACAAGAGACCACGGCUCGCCGAAAUGGCGGUGCCAGGAGCCUGAAAGGGAAUGCAGCCGGCGGGGUUGUCAAGGACAACAUUUGUUUUGGCGCAACCAGCGGUGCCGUCACCAAGAAACCGUCGACUCUGAGAAAAAAAGAGAAGUUCGGCUACCGAGAAACUCCGUGCAGCAAGUGCUGUGACAGCAAAACCGCCGGCUUCGCGCCGCUGGCGAAAGAGCCAACGGAAACGCCGGGUGCUGCGACCGCGAAGCCGGCACUAGAGGGCCUCGGAUGGAGAAAGCCCCGCACCGAGACGAGGAAACUGUGCACAGCACGACUAGCAGUUGACACAAACAGAAAAGUGUCUCGUCUGCUCUCUGGGAGAAAGCGUGGAUCAAAACCAGCAACUCAGUGGAGAGAACCCCGCAGCCACUGAAGAAGUUGCCCACGUGGCGGUGGGGCCAGAGAAACACCGCGAUUUCGACGACAGCCGUAGGGAUACCACAGAGAAACAUGCGCGGCCACAGAAGUACAUCCAGCUCCGCGCAAUCAGUGGUUCUGCGAUCCAGAAACCGCCAGCUGGGCUAGACUAGAAACUUCUAAAAAACUGUCGUCCCAUAGCAGCUUUCCUAACCACGACAGACAGUCGCCUUUAGAGAGCACCUAACGGUGCUGAGACCGGCCUGGGCCAGCAAAAGCGCAGAGCGGUGCCAGUGCCAAGAAACGCCCGACUUGGUGAAACCAACCUUGUGACCACCGAUUCCACUGGCUUCGCAGGACGCAACGGGCGAAGGCGCGGCGGAGAAACCGCAGGCUCCCUUCACCGAUUAUGCUGCGGGCUGGGGAUGGUGGGGGGCACCCGCGAAAUUGUGAAACCAGCGGCGCUGGGACCCAGCGAUCAGCUGCCCGUAGCAAAUGUCUGUGCAGUUGCAAAAGAUAAUUUUUGGCCGUGAGAAGGUUGCCGCCAGAGAGCGUCCGAUAACGCUGACAAAGGCGUGGCGUUGCCAGUGAGAAACAGCCGGCGCUGGGAAAGGAACGGUGCAGCGACCGACCAACUGCGCGCUCGGUGCCACCAAAGUGCUACUGGCUCUACCCACUCUGUCCCCCACGGGCUUAGGGAAGUCUGAUGUCUUUUUCUUUUCUUUUUUCCUCUGUCGCCUAGGCUGGUGCAGUGGUGUCAUCUUGGCUCAGUGCAGCCUCGACUUCCUGGGAUCCAGCGAUCCUCCCGCUUCAGCCUCUAGAGUAGCCGAGACCACAGGUUCCUACGCAGGAAACAGCCAUCCACCCUCUGUGACUGGGCUUUUCCAGGUCACCCCUCGCUGCCAGGCUCUCUUCCCGGUCCAGAGCCCACAGGAUCCUACAGGAGGGGCCAACAACUGCUUGCCUUUGAAACUUGAAACUCUCGGUCUAAGGUUCCUUAGGAGCGUAAAAGGCACAGCGUUUUCUGAUCGCAGCUUCAGGUCUCCCGCCCCUGUCCCGGUACCUCUCCUGCAGGACGGAACUCUGUGGGAACGCUCGUUGAUUCUGAUGGUUAACUGUCAGAUAUCCUUGAUAUUGGACAUAGGAUUUGGAAGAGGGCAGGAGAGAAAAAUGAACUGCAAGACUCCAGCACAAGAGGUGGGAUUGCUGGCAGAUGUCUGCUCCCUCUCCAAACCUAAUGAACAUCUCAAAGUGCCAUCCACUUUCCUAUACCCUUGAUCUGUGAAAUGGAUCACUGACGCUUUCUCUGUCUUUCCGGAAAUGCAAAACAGGUGAAUUUUCAAGCGCUUGAAUUGUCUCUCACACUUUUCAGUCAAGAGUGGGGCUAUAAACUCCUUCCUCAUAGGAAAUAAGGAACUGCCACUGCUUGGAAGUAAAACGUAUUUUUCCCAUAAGCUUUCACAUUUCCCAAAAAAAAUUAUACAUCCAGAUGUAAUCCCCCUAAGAGGCUUACAGACCCUACCAGGAGCGUUCCCACGCGAACGCAUCAUCUCCCAAUCGGAUCCUGAAAACACCAUGCAACCAAUUCCAUCCUUUUCUGGAUCAACCUGGGCAGAGGACAGGUGCAGAGGAGCCCAGAGAAGGGCCUUGACAAGUCAGGAGACCCAAUUUGGGGUCGCAAUUGUCACUCACUCCCCAGGCGUUUGCUUUGAUCUUCCCCUCCCACCAUACUACUUCUUCUGCUACCUGGUUUCUCCCUGGUAUUUGAGGAUCCUCCAAUUGCCUUCUGGUCUUACAGACGGGAGAAUAAAGGAAAAAUGGCAUCGUUUCCACCUUA
rnacentral:lncRNA from 1 species